rnacentral:snoRNA from 1 species
AGGGGUAUACUUUCAGGGAUCGUUUCUGUAGUACAUUACUAGAGAAUUUCCUCAACGUGUAGAGCACUGGAAACCACAAGAAGGAGACGCAGUGUUCUUUCCUGUGUGUGAAGCUGGCGCUUGCUGGUGUUUUGCUGCAACUGCUGUUUAACGUUGCUGAUAGUUCUUCUUUUCUUCCAGGAGAAUAAGAGGGAGAGGACACAAAAG